GACGAACGCUGGCGGCGUGCUUAACACAUGCAAGUCGAACGGAAAGGCCCUGCUUUUGUGGGGUGCUCGAGUGGCGAACGGGUGAGUAACACGUGAGUAACCUGCCCUUGACUUUGGGAUAACUUCAGGAAACUGGGGCUAAUACCGGAUAGGAGCUCCUGCUGCAUGGUGGGGUUGGAAAGUUUCGGCGGUUGGGGAUGGACUCGCGGCUUAUCAGCUUGGUGGUGGGGUAGUGGCUUACCAAGGCUUUGACGGGUAGCCGGCCUGAGAGGGUGACCGGCCACAUUGGGACUGAGAUACGGCCCAGACUCCUACGGGAGGCAGCAGUGGGGAAUAUUGCACAAUGGGCGGAAGCCUGAUGCAGCAACGCCGCGUGCGGGAUGACGGCCUUCGGGUUGUAAACCGCUUUCGCCUGUGACGAAGCGUGAGUGACGGUAAUGGGUAAAGAAGCACCGGCUAACUACGUG
rnacentral:rRNA from 1 species